GACGAACGCUGGCGGCGUGCUUAACACAUGCAAGUCGAACGGAAAGGCCCUGCUUUUGUGGGGUGCUCGAGUGGCGAACGGGUGAGUAACACGUGAGUAACCUGCCCUUGACUUUGUGAUAACUUCAGGAAACUGGGGCUAAUACCGGAUAGGAGCUCCUGCUGCAUGGUGGGGGUUGGAAAGUUUCGGCGGUUGGGGAUGGACUCGCGGCUUAUCAGCUUGUUGGUGGGGUAGUGGCUUACCAAGGCUUUGACGGGUAGCCGGCCUGAGAGGGUGACCGGCCACAUUGGGACUGAGAUACGGCCCAGACUCCUACGGGAGGCAGCAGUGUGGAAUAUUGCACAAUGGGCGGAAGCCUGAUGCAGCAACGCCGCGUGCGGGAUGACGGCCUUCGGGUUGUAAACCGCUUUCGCCUGUGACGAAGCGUGAGUGACGGUAAUGGGUAAAGAAGCACCGGCUAACUACGUG
rnacentral:rRNA from 1 species